GACGUAGGGUGCAAGCGUUGUCCGGAUUUACUGGGCGUAAAGAGCGCGUAGGCGGUCUGUUAAGUGUGAAGUGAAAUCUCCAGAGCUCAACUCGGAAACUGCUUCGCAUACUGGCAGACUUGAGGGACUGAGAGGUGAAUGGAAUUCCUGGUGUAGCGGUGAAAUGCGUAGAUAUCAGGAGGAACACCCAUGGCGAAGGCAGUUCACUGGCAGUCUCCUGACGCUGAGGCGCGAAAGCGUGGGUAGCAAACAGG
rnacentral:rRNA from 2 species